AACUCUCCUGGGUUUUACCACUAGAAGAAUCAGGGAGAAGCUAAAGGUGCCUUCAACUUUUGGAGGAAUGUAUUCCCCUGAAAGGGCCUAUUCUGCUGUGGGCAGCAGGAACUUACCAGAGAGGAAUAGAUUCAAAACCCGCUAGAGAUAUCAUCUAUUGGAAUUUGGCAAUGAUUAAAGAGAUGGUGAUGCAGGACCAGAUGUGGGAAUGAGUUCUUUUGGGGACAUGAUGAACUUUAAGCAAGUAUAGGAAGUCCAGGUAGAGAUGCCCAGAGGGCAGCUGGAAGAGCCACCUGAGUUUGGGAAGGGAGAAUUAGGAAGAUUAAGAGUUAUCUGCUGAGAGAUGAUAGUUGACAUUGUAGAAGAGGUGACUGCAGAAAGGCAGGAGGAUAAGAUGAUUUAGAAACAAUUUUUCCUUAGAGGAUCUUCUUAGUGUGGAUCCAACCAUUUGAAGUGUUUUCUGGCUACAAUAAAUAUUUGUUCAGGUUGUAGCACUGCCUGGGUAAUCACUAGGUAAAAAGGCAGGAUCAACUUCCAGUCCUCAUUAAAUUCACAGAAGUGGUUCUUCCCUCCUUGUCAAGCUUUUUCUGUACACGGAGUUUUGAAAGAUAAGCUUGCCAAUUGAUUCUCUGCAGUUCUUUCUUCAUCUCACCCUGAUUGUUUUCUCCAGUCAGAUUAGGGUGAUAACUGACAACAAACAUCUUAAUUAGAGAGGUCAAGAUAUCAGUUUCUGGUAGGUUAAAAUGCUCUUAGAGUCACUAUUUUUAUUUUGCAUGUAACAACCUCUUUGAUAAACCUUUCUUCAAGAGGCUAGAUUCACACUAAGUAGAUGCUCUGAGGAUCCUUCGUCUCUGAUUUCAUCUUUCUGCUUUAGUGCAAACACCUGUCCUACAGUGUUAACUAUCACCUCUCAGCAGACAACUCUGUCUUCCUAAUUCUCCUUCCCACACUCAGUUGGCGAUUCCAGCUGCCCUCUGGAUAUCUCUACCUUAAUUUCCUACUCUUACUUGAAGCUCAGCAUGUGCCAAAAAGAACUCAUCUCCAAAUCUGCUCCUGCACCACAAUGUCCCUAAUGAUUGCCAAAAUCCCAUGGAUGAUAUCUCUACCAAGGAUUUUUGAUCUGUCCCUGUCCUGUGAGUUCCUGCUGCCCACAGUCAAGUUGCCCUCAUUCAUCAUUUCUUGGACUAUUAUAAAAGCCUUUUAACUGGCUUCUAUUAUUUCUGAAUACACUUCUGUCUGCAUGCUGCCAUUCAUCAAUCUCUGAAUCCGGUGUGCAAGUUGCCAUUAAUCUCUCUGCUGUUCAACAGCCUUGAGCAGCCCAGCCUGGCAUCCAGGACCCUGUGCAAUAGGGUGUCUCCCAAUAUGUUCUUAAACCUAAGUGCAUGCUCCCUAAACCAGAGUUCUCGCCCUUCCCUAAACUAAUCAGUCUUUCCCUGUCUCCCAGGGUUUUCUUAUACUAUUUCUUCUUCAUGAUAUGCCAGUCACAUCUCUAUCUUUCUGGAUUUCAUCCAUUCUUUAAGGCCUUCAAGUUCAAAAGCCAACUUUUCCACAAAGUAUUUCCAAUUCCUCCUGGGAGUUUUCCCUCCAAAUCUUUAUCACACAUUGUUGUCUAAUUUCAUCAAACCUUCCUUAUUUUUUUUCUUGGUAUUAGGGUUAUUAAUAUAA
rnacentral:lncRNA from 10 species